CAUGGUCGACGCACCAUCAUUACUUUUCAUUUAAAUUGCAGUACAAGGUGUGUGUGGUCCAGGGCGUAAGGCAAAGCGGAUUAGAAAUUAACAUUUUUAGCCCCGUUGACUUGUGUUCAUUUUUCUGUUCUUCCAGAGACCCGUGAUGUGGAAGUGACUUAGGCUCCCUAUUCCCAUUUUAUUAAGGUGUAUCCAUAUAAGUGGCCCACCCGGUGUGUGUGUGUGUGUGUGUGUGUGUGUGUGCGCGCGUGUGUGUGUGCGUGCGUACGUAUGCACACAAGCAGCGGAGCAGCAGAGUCAAGCAGAGACGACGGUGAUGAGGAAGUAGGAGGUGGAAAAAGAGGGUCGUAGUAAGGUGUGGGCCUACUU
rnacentral:lncRNA from 1 species